AUUGAACGCUGGCGGCAGGCCUAACACAUGCAAGUCGAACGAGUGGCGGACGGGUGAGUAAUGUCUGGGAAACUGCCCGAUGGAGGGGGAUAACUACUGGAAACGGUAGCUAAUACCGCAUACCAUCGGAUGUGCCCAGAUGGGAUUAGCUUGUAGGUGAGGUAACGGCUCACCUAGGCGACGAUCCCUAGCUGGUCUGAGAGGAUGACCAGAGAAAAUGUAAAGGAGAAACGGGCCAGAAGCCUACGGGAGGCAGCAGUGGGGAAUAUGGAACAAUGGGCGCAAGCCGGAUGCAGCCAUGCCGCGUGGAUGAAGAAGGCCUUCGGGUUGUAAAGUACUUUCAGCGGGGAGGCGUUACCCGAAGAAGAAGCACCGGCUAACUCCGUGCCAGCAGACGCGGUAAGUC
rnacentral:rRNA from 1 species